GAUGAACGCUGGCGGCGUGCUUAACACAUGCAAGUCGAACGAAGCGCUUAAGCUGAUUUCUUCGGAUUGAUUCUUGAGUGACUGAGUGGCGGACGGGUGAGUAACGCGUGGGUAACCUGCCUCAUACAGGGGGAUAACAGUCGGAAAUGGCUGCUAAUACCGCAUAAGCGCACAGUACCGCAUGGUACAGUGUGAAAACUCCGGUGGUAUGAGAUGGACCCGCGUCUGAUUAGCUGGUUGGUGGGGUAACGGCCCACCAAGGCGACGAUCAGUAGCCGGCCUGAGAGGGUGAACGGCCACAUUGGGACUGAGACACGGCCCAA
rnacentral:rRNA from 1 species